GUUGUAGCUCAGUGGUAGAGUGCUUGCCUAGCAUGUGUGAGCCACUGGGUUUGAUCCUCAGCCCACAACA
rnacentral:tRNA from 1 species